AGUGAACGCUGGCGGUAGGCCUAACACAUGCAAGUCGAACGGCAGCACAGGAGAGCUUGCUCUCUGGGUGGCGAGUGGCGGACGGGUGAGGAAUACAUCGGAAUCUACUUUUUCGUGGGGGAUAACGUAGGGAAACUUACGCUAAUACCGCAUACGACCUACGGGUGAAAGCAGGGGACCUUCGGGCCUUGCGCGAUUGAAUGAGCCGAUGUCGGAUUAGCUAGUUGGCGGGGUAAAGGCCCACCAAGGCGACGAUCCGUAGCUGGUCUGAGAGGAUGAUCAGCCACACUGGAACUGAGACACGGUCCAGGCUCCUACGGGAGGCAGCAGUGGGGAAUAUUGGACGAUGGGCGCAAGCCUGAUCCAGCCAUACCGCGUGGGUGAGGAAGGCCUUCGGGUUGUAAAGCCCUUUUGUUGGGAAAGAAAUCCAGCUGGCUAAUACCCGGUUGGGAUGACGGUACCCAAAGAAUAAGCACCGGCUAACUUCGUGCCAGCCGCCGCCGUAA
rnacentral:rRNA from 1 species